rnacentral:rRNA from 1 species
GUCUGUGUAUUAUGUUAAAUAUGCUAGUCCUUUCAUGAUUAUGUGAUAGGUGGUGCAUGGCCGUUCUUAGUUCGUGGAGUGAUCUGUCUGCUUAAUUGCGUUUCACUAAGGGCCUAUAAAUUUACGUGUGUUGCGGCACUUUGACCCCUCUCUGAGCGCGCGUCUUAGUUUGCUUUGCUCGCACAAUUAGGUCCUGAAAGCAACGAACGUGACCGCAACCUCUUGUUGCCUUUAUUCCAAACAUGUUUGCCAUUUUAAAUGGUAUUCAUGAAAAAAGGCUUUUUAAACUAGAGGGACCGCUGUUACUUUCUUAAACCAGAGGAAGGUUGCGGCAAUAACAGGUCUGUGAUGCCCUUAGAUGUUCCGGGCUGCACACGUGCUACAAUGAUUAUUGCAGUGAGCAUCUCAUUUUUACACACCGCAUGCGCGAGUCCAUUUAUUCACCUCUCUGAGGCGCUUUAAAUGUGUACCUCUGCGCGCGGUAAAGCCUGCUUCGAGAGUAAGUGGGUAAUCAAUUAGAAGUAAUGAUUUCCUUUUUAGCACACAUAUAUACGGCGUCUAUGCCCGGGCUGCCUUGUUGUAGCUUUUGUGCGUAUAGAUGUUUUUUCCGUAUGUGCGAUUGUCAAUUCAUGGUGGGGACAGACCAUUGUUAAUUGUUGGUCUCGGUCUUAACUAGGAAUGCCUUGUACGGGUCUUUGGUUCAACAAACCACCCGGAAUACGUCCCUGCCCUUUGUACACACCGCCCGUCGCUCUUACCGAUGGACUUCUCUGUGAGUUUGAGGGACUGGGAACGCAGAUUUUAUCUGCACACCUAUGGAAACUUAAACGAACAGUGUGGUCUAAAG